UACGGAGGAUCCGAGCGUUAUCCGGAUUUAUUGGGUUUAAAGGGUGCGCAGGCGGGAGAUUAAGUCGGCGGUGAAAUUUUGCAGCUCAACUGUAAAAGUGCCUUCGAAACUGGUUUCCUUGAGUGUAGAUGAAGUAGGCGGAAUUUGUGGUGUAGCGGUGAAAUGCAUAGAUAUCACGAGGAACUCCGAUUGCGCAGGCAGCUUACUAAACCAUAACUGACGCUCAGGCACGAAGGCGUGGGGAUCAAACAGGAUUAGAUACCCGGGUAGUCCCU
rnacentral:rRNA from 1 species